UGGGGCCAUUUCAUCUCUUUCAAUGGCCCGGCAUCAUCAUCGCUGUAUGCAGGCCUGACCUCAGGCAGAAGGGAGUGAGGCAGCAUGACAUAGGAUGAAGCAGAAAGGCACUGGGGUGAGUGGGCCGGCGUCUGAAUGCCCACUCUCUAGCUGUGUGAUCUUAGGGAUCAUGACUGCUUCCCAGACCUUAGUCUCAGGAUGCCACACCGGAAGAGCUGGACCCCACAUUUGAAGACAGAUGUCCCUGGCGGUGCCCGCCUGCUCUGUAAAGAGCUAGUCCCAGGCUCCCAUUGUGACCUAGCACCUCAACCUCUCCUGACCCUUUUGCCUAGGCCAGAUCCUGAGAUCGGAGAGUACAUACAUCUCCCUGGGGCUUGCUUUCCUCUCCCAUAAAAUUUAGGAGUUGGGGAUGAUCUUAUCCCUCUACCUAGACUGUAGACUCCUGGGAGCGGGAGGCAAGGCACUCACAAGCAAGGGCAUCAGAGUGACAUCAAGACACAAACAGCCAUGGAAUCUUGGGAACAGAUCAAGGAGUCCACCUCUUAAAAUAUUGUAAAAAAUAAAAUCUGAGUACGAAUGUUGG
rnacentral:lncRNA from 1 species